rnacentral:rRNA from 1 species
UCGUACCUACGGGGGGCAGCAGUGGGGAAUAUUGCACAAUGGGGGAAACCCUGAUGCAGCGACGCCGCGUGAAGGAAGAAGUAUUUCGGUAUGUAAACUUCUAUCAGCAGGGAAGAAAAUGACGGUACCUGACUAAGAAGCCCCGGCUAACUACGUGCCAGCAGCCGCGGUAAUACGUAGGGGGCAAGCGUUAUCCGGAUUUACUGGGUGUAAAGGGAGCGUAGACGGCCAGACAAGUCAGAAGUGAAAGCCCAGGGCUCAACUCUGGGACUGCUUUUGAAACUGCCGGGCUGGAGUGCAGGAGA